rnacentral:rRNA from 1 species
UGGGGAAUAUUGCACAAUGGGCUCAUGUCUGAUGCAGCCAUGCCGCGUGUAUGAAGAAGGCCUUCGGGUUGUAAAGUACUUUCAGUCGGGAGGAAGGUGUCAAGGUUAAUAACCUUGGCAAUUGACGUUACCGACAGAAGAAGCACCGGCUAACUCCGUGCCAGCAGCCGCGGUAAUACGGAGGGUGCAAGCGUUAAUCGGAAUUACUGGGCGUAAAGCGCACGCAGGCGGUUGAUUGAGUCAGAUGUGCAAUCCCCGGGCUUUACCCGGGAAUUGCAUCUGAUACUGGUCAGCUAGAGUCUUGUAGAGGGGGGUAGAAUUCCAUGUGUAGCGGUGAAAUGCGUAGAGAUGUGGAGGAAUACCGGUGGCGAACGCGGCCCCCUGGACAAAGACUGACGCUCAGGUGCGAAAGCGUGGGGAGCAAACAGG